rnacentral:rRNA from 1 species
UAAAAGUCGUAACAAGGUUUCCGUAGGUGAACCUGCGGAAGGAUCAUUAACGAAUCCAAAUCUUACUUGCCUUAGCGGUAACUUGAUGUUGUUCUUCGGGGUCGGCUUCGGUCGUUAAAUCGUCUGUGGGUACGGUGAACUUCGGUUCGCUAGGCGGGCCCCGAAUUAGUUUUUUACUCACUCAAUGCCUUAACGUUUCGAUUCCUCGGACGGACUCGAUCCGCACGAGAGUUGCCUAAAAGCGAACAACUUUAAACGGUGGAUCUCUUGGCUCGUGCAUCGAUGAAGAACGCAGCAAACUGCGAUAAGUAAUGUGAAUUGCAGAAUUUAGUGAGUCAUCGAAUCUUUGAACGCAAAUGGCGCUCUUGGGCAUUCCCAGGAGCACGCCUGUCUGAGCGUCGUUUCUCACAUCCCAACUCUCAGGAGCUGGGGCCAUGAGGUGUCCCUUUGCUGCGAAGCGAACGGUCCCUUGAAGUAUAGCGAUCCCGAGUUGUGCGGAAGCCUUUCUUGGCCCGCCAUCUUCGGUGUGGUAGAAAUAUCUCACCGAGGAUACGUGCUUGGAGAGUGUCGGAUGUCUUCUCAUAGGGACGACUGGAAAGGAGGAUGAAAGCUCUCGGGCAUUCUUUCGACCAAUCAAGACCUCAGAUCAGACGAGACUACCCGCUGAACUUAAGCAUAUCA